rnacentral:tRNA from 1 species
GCCGGAAUAGCUCAGUUGGGAGAGCGUUAGACUAAAGUUGUUUACGCAACAGUCAUCGAAAGGCCCCCGGUUCAAUCCCGGGUUCCGGCA